GGUGUCCGCAGGAGUUUGUGUGGCCGCCGCGGGAACGCGAGCUUGGUGAUUUUUCAACGGAGAAAAGCCGAGCUUUGGUUGGGGCUUGGAGGAGAGAGAGUGAGCGAGUGGGUGGCUCCAACAGCUGCCUUCUGGCGGGAGAGCCGGCAUGGAGGAAGAGCAGAGUAGGCAGCCUGGCGGCGAGGCCGUGGCGCCCCCGCAGCAGGAGGCGCAGCGGCCGGAGUGUGGGGAGGAACCGCAGCACGCGCAUCGCGAGAAAAAGCAUCGAUGUAGGUUUGAUGGCCAAGAAACAAAAGGAUCUAAGUUCAUUACCUCGAAUGGAAGUGAUUUCAGUGACCCAGUUUACAAAGAGAUUGCUAUUACAAAUGGUUGUAUUAAUAGAAUGAGUAAGGAAGAACUCAGAGCUAAGCUUUCAGAAUUCAAGCUCGAAACCAGAGGAGUAAAGGAUGUACUAAAGAAGAGACUGAAAAACUAUUAUAAGAAACAGAAGCUAAUGUUGAAAGAGAGCAGUUGUGCUGAUAGUUACUAUGACUACAUUUGUAUUAUUGACUUUGAAGCCACUUGUGAAGAGGGUAAUCCACCUGAGUUCAUACAUGAAAUAAUUGAGUUUCCUGUUGUUUUAUUGAAUACUCACACCUUACAAAUAGAAGAUACGUUUCAGCAGUAUGUGAGACCAGAGAUUAACACGCAGCUUUCUGACUUCUGCAUCAGUCUUACUGGGAUUACUCAGGAUCAGGUCAACAGAGCUGAUACUUUUCCUCAGGUACUGAAAAAAGUAAUUGACUGGAUGAAAUUGAAGGAAUUAGGAACAAAGUAUAAAUAUUGCAUAUUAACAGAUGGUUCGUGGGAUAUGAGUAAGUUCUUGAACAUUCAGUGCCAGCUGAGCAGGCUCAAAUAUCCUCCCUUUGCUAAAAAGUGGAUCAAUAUUCGAAAAUCGUAUGGAAACUUUUACAAGGUUCCUAGAAGUCAAACCAAACUGGCAAUAAUGCUUGAGAAAUUAGGAAUGGAUUAUGAUGGACGACCUCACAGUGGUCUUGAUGAUUCUAAGAACAUCGCACGAAUAGCAGUACGAAUGCUUCAAGAUGGAUGUGAACUCCGAAUCAAUGAGAAAAUGCAUUCAGGACAGCUAAUGAGUGUGUCCUCUUCCUUACCAAUAGAGGGCGCUCCAGCUCCACAGAUGCCACAUUUUAGAAAGUAAUAGCAUUUUUGUCUGUGGAUCAUUCUAAUUGGAGUUGCUACAAAGAGGUAGCAGAUGGAUAUUCACUGACUGCAGUGCAAACUUCAAGCACCUUAAACAUGAAAAAUCUUAUUACAAUUAUAUAUAUGUUAUGUAUGUGAACAGAUUUUGUGGGAGGAUAUAUUGAAUUCUUUCUCACCAGCACUUUUGAUAUGAGCAGUAUUUGUUACACAGUAAUGUCCUGCUUAUAACUAAAUUUUAUAAAUUGCCCAAGAUUUUAAGGUGUCCAAGAUGUACUCCUUUUGAUUUUAAAAUGCAAAAUUUUAUUGGAUCUUCUUGAAUGUCAUAUUUUAUUGAUGUUGAGAUAUAGAAUGUAUUUCUGCAUUAACAUCAUUUCAUUAAAUCAUUCUUAAAAUGCCAAAAGAUUGAAAGGUAGGCCCUAUAUUAACCUUUGGGUUUUAUAAAUAUAGUCCUCUUGACUUUUGAAGUUUAUAUGUGAGGUUCAACUAUAGUACUCUUGGAAUUAGUUCCAGCACCUGAUGUGGAUGCCUCAAGUCACUUACAUAAAAUGGCAUAGUAUUUGCAUAUACAUCCUCCCAUAUACUUUAAAUCAUCUCUAGCUUAUUAUACCUAAUAAAAUAUAACUACUAUAUUAAUAGUUGCUGUACUGUGUUGUUUAGGGAAUAAUGACAAGGAAAAAAGUCUAUUCUGAUACAACACUGUAGGCCAACCUACAUAGUACAGGAGCAAGAUGCGGAGCCAGCAAUGACCAAACAAAGUGUGCUGGAUAGAAACUGAGCAUCUGUGGAAUGGCAGGCUGUAGCAGGUUGUGCCCGCACAUCACUUAUUUUGUGAAGAUUCAGCAUAGUGCUAGGCAUGUGGAAAAUUCAAGUUUUGCUUUUUGGAAAAAUUUUCCCCAAAUAUCUUGAGUCUUUUGUUGGUUGAAUCUACAGAUGUGGAUCCCAGACUGGAAUGUGAUGCAGAACCUAUGAAUGCAAGGGCCAACCAGUUGUUUUCCUGGAGUCUGUAUCAAGAUGGAUGAGGGACUAGUGAUUCUGAGGCUUUUGUACUUCCAAAUGUCUGUUGUCAAGAUAAAUUUUUUUAAGUUUUUUCUGGAGUGAAUAGUGAUCGAUCAUUCUGGUGUCAUGUAAUAGUGUGAUCAAUAACAGUUUUAGAAUACAAGUCCUUUCCUACUUAAUUGAGCGAGAGAACAAAAUAGCAUAUGAUUUUCUCCUUGCUAGUAUGUCAUGCUGCAACAUAGCUAGUGAUGGCAGAGGCCACGGAGAUUGAACCUUUUCCCUUCAAAUGUCCAUUUUUGUUUGCUGAACACGUUUCUUUGAACAGAAACCUGUUUUCCUUUUGGUUUUGUUUUUUGUCAGUGGGACUAGGACUGUAACAAUUGGAUAGGUUUGAAACCUUUUACUCAUGGUUCUCUCCCCAAGUUAGCACAGUGUCUGUUGAUUAUUUGCAGUCAUAGUAUCCUUACAUCAGUCUACUUUUGUCUUAGCUACCCAGACUAUUGCUAAAAUUUAGUUGGUUUUUCUCUCCUAUUGUCUAAUUGGCUUUUCUCUUCUAUUGUCUGUCUUGGUUCACUUUAUGAUGCUAUAACAGAAUACCAUGGACUGGGUAAUUUAUAAAGAACAGAUUGAUUCUCCCUGAUGUGGUUAAAAACUGAAUAAAAGGUGUUAAUAGAACUUUUUUCUUUUGAUAUGUGAUCACAAAAUAACUCUAAAACCUACUGUUUUUACUGUUGAAAUUUAAAUUGUGAGAUAGUUUUUAAAUGUCUAGAAUGCUUUUCUUGAACUGUUAGAUUCUUUUAGAGUUUUUCAUGUUCCGUUUGUAUUUGUAAAAAAAAAAAAAAGAAAAAAAAGAACAGAAAACAAACAAAAGAAUCCCCCAAAUCCAAAUAACAACCAGAGCAAAACUGUUGUGCCUUUUAUUUAUCUUUGAUUCCAAUCUUGGCAGUUGUUUAAAGAAAAAUAAUAAAAAAAAUUUAGAUUUGUUUUAUUAGGUUCAGAGUAUGUGGGGAAUUGUAGAGUUCCUCUUUUCAUCACCUUGUAUGUCUUUUGUUAAUAUUUGUUAUGCCUUAUUCUAAAACUGAGUCUCAAACUGGAAUGCCUUGGAGGACAGAUACUUCUGUAGAGGUCCUUUGACCUAAAUAGUUAAGCAUGUGUAUUAAGUUUUAUUUUGGUAUCUAAUCAGAUUUUUAAUCAUAGCCCAUAAGAAGGAAUGCGACUUAAUAUUGGACUUUGCUGAUGUGCUUUAGUGUCUGCAAUUUUUUUUUCUUUAAAUCAUAGCCAUAUGGUAAAUUUUCUAUUUUGUUAUGGUGCCCUUUUAUUGAUGGGCAUGCAGUGGGUGUUUCUUGGAAAUGGCCAAUUUUUAUUAAAAUAUUUCUGGAAGAAAAUUUAAUCUGGCCAAAAAAAAAAAAAAAAAGAACAGAUUGACUUCUCACAGUUUUGGAAGCUGGGAAGUUCAGUAUAAAGGGGGUAGCAUCUGGCAAGGGCCUUUUUGCAGCAAUAUAACAUGGCAAAGGGCAUCAUGGCAAGAGAGUGUAACAAUGUGCCAACUCAGGUUUAUUCCUCUUACAAAACAAUUAAUUCCAUGACCUCCCAUGGAAUUUCAUGAACCCCCAUUACCUCCUAAAGGCCUCAACUCCAGAUACCAUCCACAUAUGAAUUUGGAGGUUAGGUUUCCAGCACAUGAAUUUUAGUGGACACAUUUAAACCAUAGCACUCUCUGUAUGCUCCUGUCGUAGAUCUUCCUAAAAUGUUUGGCACACUGACUUCAGAAACUCACAUUUCUCACAGAAUAAAAAUCAACUACACUCCCUUGACUUAAGACCCUCCAUGCUCUGGUUUCUUACUGUUUUAUCUUUCAUAGUUGCUAUCUGCUCCAAACUAUUUACAUUCUCCCAGCCAUCACAUGUGCAUCACACCCCAAGAAAUAAGUCGACCAACCUUGUUCUCUUGAUUAUGAUUUUUAAAAGUUCAGCUUUUAGCCUUCUCCUUCCUAGAAUUCCCUGACCUUUGGCAAUAUGUCCAUUGUUCCUUGCACUUUUAUGUACUUAUUGGGCUCUUAACUUCUACACAGAUUAAAAUUUUC